rnacentral:rRNA from 1 species
UACAGAGGGGGCCAGCGUUAUUCGGAAUUAUUGGGCGUAAAGGGCGCGUAGGCGGCUUUGCGUGUCUUUCGUGAAAUCCCUCGGCUCAACUGAGGACGUGCGGAAGAAACUGCAGGGCUGGAGUCCGGGAGAGGAGGGUGGAAUUCCUGGUGUAGCGGUGAAAUGCGCAGAUAUCAGGAGGAACACCAGCGGCGAAGGCGGCGCUCUGGGCCGGUACUGACACUGAGGAGCGAAAGCGUGGGUAGCAAACAGG